rnacentral:lncRNA from 1 species
GCUUGAUCUUCGCUCUCAAAAUAUAGCAAUUGACCCCUUAUUCUUCAUGGAUUUGAUGAAAUUAUUGUGUAUGAAGAGGCAAGAGAGAGACUCUUUUAUUGCUGCCCAUAUCUUAUAUUUAUAUAAUAAAAUUAGGUCAAAAUUCACGUCCAAAUUGUCUUCCAAAAGAGUUUGGAUCAAAUAAGAAAAGUUGCCUUCGCGCGCACAUAAUUUUGUCUCUACACAGUAUUCAGUAUUUUGAUCAUAACUUUCUCUUUCGGUGUUCGAUUCAAGUGAUUCAAAGUGUAUUGGAAAGAUAAUUAAAAGAUCUACAAUUAUUUUAGAAAUACAAUUUUUUCAAUUCAAACGUUCUCCAUCCGAAAAAUGGGUCUCAAAUUGACUAAAAAUCUUAAAGAUAUCCUAUAUAUUUGGAAGUCGAUUUAUGGUAAUAUUCUAAUCAUAUCCCUUUCCUUUUUUACUCCAAUUUGCAUUCAAUCGACUCUUAUCAAUCUUCAAAGUAUCUUUUGUGGUCCAAAUCAACCAUUAGAUAUUUAUACUUUAGUCCCCAUACUUUGGAUUUGCUUCAUUUAGCCAUUUUCCGUUCUUUUUUCCAAUUCUUCUUUGAAACAUGAAUUUUUCCUAAUAAAAGCAAUAAAUAACAAAUCAGGUACUAAUCCGUUCAAAGAAUAACAAAAUAUCAUCAUUUAAGGUCCCAAAUAAGUGUAGAAACUACACUUAUCAGUCAUCAAAGUUUCUUUUGCUUGACAUAUGAAAAAGUGGUCAUGCUAAGCGACCCAAACCAUCAAAUUUCCAGAUAUGGAGAACGUUGUUUAUGAGUGAUUUCUUCAAUAUCAAGACUCUGUGAAUAUAAUAGGAGAUGAGAGAUUGUGAAAAUAUAAAGCCCUGAAAAGAUUUCAGAAUUCAAUUUUUCGCCCACUACAUGUAUAGGUGGGUGGUUCACAGGGCAAAUACAAGUGAGACGCAGAAGGUGGGGUGGGUGGAUCAUUUUUUGAAGAAAAAAAAUCACAUUGGGGGGGGGGGCUAGGCCUCAUGUGAGGGUCGGUACAGACACUGUACAAGGAAUUGCUCUUAGAAGUUCUAGUUAAGCCGUGAUAUCAAGUCAUUUCAUCUUUUUGGGGAAAGUGAAUAAGUCAGUACAAAGACAUGAAAAAGAAAUUGAUGUUCAUAAGAAAAACAAUAGAUCAAUUUCGCCGUUAAAGAUGUGUUUCAAUAUAGAUGAAACAUGAUUGUUUUAUAGGGUAAAACAUGAUCACUCUUUUGCAACAAAGCAACAAGCAAGACAAAGAAUGACUUCGAUUGUUGUUUAUUAUAACAAGGAUGACCCAUAAAAAAAUUUCCUUUAUGGAUCAUUGAAAAACAUGCAAAACCACAUUGCUUCAAGAAUAGACUCUUCCAUAAUAGAUAAGAUUUAUCUAAAUAUUCUGUUAAACUAAAUAAUCAUUA